rnacentral:rRNA from 1 species
AACGAACGCUGGCGGCAUGCCUAACACAUGCAAGUCGAACGAGACCUUCGGGUCUAGUGGCGCACGGGUGCGUAACGCGUGGGAACCUGCCCUUAGGUUCGGAAUAACUCCCCGAAAGGGGUGCUAAUACCGGAUAAUGUCUUCGGACCAAAGAUUUAUCGCCUUUGGAUGGGCCCGCGUUGGAUUAGCUAGUUGGUAGGGUAAAAGCCUACCAAGGCGACGAUCCAUAGCUGGUCUGAGAGGAUGAUCAGCCACACUGGGACUGAGACACGGCCCAGACUCCUACGGGAAGCAGCAGUGGGGAAUAUUGGACAAUGGGCGAAAGCCUGAUCCAGCAAUGCCGGGUGAGUGAUGAAGGCCUUAGGGUUGUAAAGCUCUUUUACCCGGGAUGAUAAUGACAGUACCGGGAGAAUAAGCUCCGGCUAACUCCGUG